UCUAUUUUUCUUUUAUCAGACCAGAGGACAUUUCUCCAAAAAGUACAAUCUUUUUUCCCAUGUGCAGUUGCAAACCGUAGUCUGGCUUCUAUACGGUGGUUUUGGAGCAGUGGCUUCUUCCUUGCUGAGCGGCCUUUCAGGUUACGUUGAUAUAGGACUCGUUUUACUGUGGAUAAAAAUACUUUUGUACCUGUUUCCUCCAGCAUCUUCACAAGGUCUGUUGCUGUUGUUCUGGUUUUCACUUUUCGCAGCAAAGUACGUUCAUCUCUAGGAGACAGAACAUGUCUCCUUCCUGAGCGGUAUGACGGCUGUGUGGUCCCAUGGUGUUUAUACUUGCGUACUAUUGUUUGUACAGUUGAACGUGGUAACUUCAGGCAUUUGGAAAUUGCUCCCAAGGAUGAACCAGACUUGUGGAGGUCUACAAUUUUUUUUCUGAGGUCUUGGCUGAUUUCUUUUGAUUUUCCCAUGAUGUCAAGCAAAGAGGCACUGAGUUUGAAGGUAGGCCUUGAAAUACAUCCACAGGUACACCUCCAAUUGACUCAAAUGAUGUCAAUUAGCCUAUCGGAAGCUUCUAAAGCCAUGACAUAAUUUUCUGUAAUUUUCCAAGCUCUUUAAAGGCACAGUCAACUUAAUGUAUGUAAACUUCUGACCCACUGGAAUUGUGAUACAGUGAAUUUAUAAGUGAAAUAAUCUGUCUGUAACCAAUUGUUGGAAAAAUGACUUGUGUCAUGCACAAAGUAGAUGUCCUAACCGACUUACAGUUUUUUCCAACUGCUUACACACAAAAUCUUUUCAUGUCACACGAUUUUUGAAACCUCUCAUUCAAAGUGCAAAACAACACACCAAAUAUCCAAAACCAUAAGCUAUUUCUCAGCCUUUGACUCAGUUGUCAACUGCAUAAAACACUUUUUUCAAAACACUACACACAAUUCUCUACCUAAAACACAAAAAUCUAACAGGAAGUGACUUGCUUUCCUUUUCCAAACACAACCAAUCAAAAUGCUACACUUAUUCACCAGGUCACACACACACUCCUCACAUGUGCAAACACUAAUAGCUUAACUGAUCACUAACCAAUCACUGCUUUACUGUAGUAUGGGCCUAUAAAUAGGUCAAAGGUCAGAUUACCUGUUUUGAACAAUGGAUGCCAACAAUGGACAGAGAGCAAGAGGAGUAGGAGGGAGAGGAAGAGGAAGAAGAGGACGAGGGCAAAGGCAAAAAAGCGUAGGAAGGAGAGCCAUCUCUGAUGAGAUUAGGGCAACACUUGUUGAUCAUGUGAUCAACCACGGUUUGACCAUGAGAGAGGACUAAGAGUCCAGCCCAACUUGAGUCGAUUUACAGUGGUGUCCAUAAUUCAAACCUUCAGAAAUGAGAACAGAGUGGAAAGGCAAAGACAUCAUGGAGGACGAGGACGCUUGUUUACAGAUGUACAAGAGACUGCAAUUAUAAAUAUGGUUUUGGCCAACAAUGCAAUUAGGAUUCGAGAGAUAAGAGAGCAUAUCUUGAAUAAUGACACCAUAUUUAACAACAUCAAUGCUGUAUGUCUGUCGACCAUACAACGCAUCCUCCAACGGCACCGAGUGAGUCAAGAAUAUGCGACAUGACUUUGUAGAGGUAUGUAUGCAACACUAAUUCCAGUACUUCAGACAUGCCAUAUUUACUCAUCUGUAUAUCCUUUUGUCUGUUACAGAGAGUAUUGGAGCUGGAUGCCCAUGUAAUUCACCAUGAAUUUAUUUAUGUGGAUGAGGUUGGCUUCAAAAACCAGGCGCCGCGGAAGAAAUGUAAUAGGACAGAGGGCAAUUACCAAUGUCCCUGGACAGCGUGGGGGUAAUAUAACAAUGUGUGCUGCCAUCACUCAAAACGGGGUCCUCCAUCACAAUGCCACACUGGGUCCGUACAACACCGGCCAUAUGCUCACUUUUCUGGAUGCAAUUUACACAAUGCUUGUCCCUGAUCCAGAUCAGGAGCCUGCUAGAUUUGUGGUUUUAUGGGACAAUGUUAGUUUUCACCGGGCUGUUCUGGUCCAAAACUGGUUUGCCACCCAUCCACAAUUUGUAGUUUUGUACCUACCCCCAUAUUCACCUUUUCUAAAUCCCAUAGAGGAAUUCUUAGCCUGGCGCUGGAAAGUGUAUGAUCGCCAACCCUAUGCCCGCAUGCCGCUUCUCCAGGCAAUGGAGGACGCAUGUGGGGACAUAGAGGUUGCCUCUGUCCAAGGUUGGAUACGCCAUGCUAGGAGAUACUUUCCUCGAUGUUUGGCAAAAGAAAACGUAUCUUGUGAUGUGGACGAAGUAUUGUGGCCAGACCCAGACCGGAGAAGAGAUUAAGCGUAGCUUAGCACUGGUGACUGCCCUCCCCCUAUCAAUUCCUAGACUUCCCCCCCUGGGACCCCACACACACAAUUGUGUUCUUUACUGUAUUCUAAAGAAAAUACUUUUGGUUUAUGGUUUUGUUGUAUACAACAGUAAUGUUUGGCCUAAUAAAUAUUUUCUGUUUCUACAUUGCA